GACAGAGGGUGCUAGCGUUAUUCGGAAUUAUUGGGCGUAAAGCGCGUGUAGGCGGUUUUUUAAGUCAGUUGGGAAAUUCUGGGGCUCAACCCCAGCGCUCUAACUGAUACUGGAAAACUAGAGAUCGGGAGAGGUAGAUGGAAUUCCUAGUGUAGAGGUAAAAUUCGUAGAUAUUAGGAGGAACACCAGAGGCGAAGGCGGUCUACUGGAACGAUUCUGACGCUGAGAUGCGAAAGCGUGGGUAGCAAACAGG
rnacentral:misc_RNA from 1 species